rnacentral:lncRNA from 1 species
UUUUUUCAUGCUCUCUUCCAUCUUGUUCUAUCCCAAGGGACUGGAUAUAGUUCCCUGUGCUGCACAGCAGGAGCUCACGGUAGACUUGCAUGUUAGAAGGAUUAUUCUGGGAGUUCCCACGGUAGUGCUCCAGGGUCGGUGGCAUCUCUGCAGCCCCAGGCUGCAGAUUCCACCCCUGACCCGGCAGCGUGGGUGAAAGGAUCUGGUGCAGCGGCAGCUGCAGCAUAGGUUGCACCUGAGGCUCAGAUCCACCCCCUGGCCUGGGAACUCCCUAUGCCUUGGAGAGGCCAAAAAAGGAAAGAAAGGGAUGAGUCUGGCUGUGGUGGAGAACAGACCAAAGGGAGGGAUGGGGCAAGACUAGAAGCGCAGAGGCUGGUCAAGUGAGUUAACCCAGGGGAGAUGGUGGUGCAGGGAACUGGUUCACGAGUUAACCCGGUGGUGCAGGAAAUCAAGAUGUAGCUUUGGGGGUGUGUGUUUACAAGCUGCAGCCAGCAGGACUUCCUACGGUUUCAUCGUAGGUUUGGAGAGUCAGAGGAGUCAGAGAUGGCUCCAGUGCUUUAAGCCCAAGCCAGAGGAAAGAUGGACCUGACAUGGACAAGUGUGGGAAAGCUGUGCGUGCCGCCCAGGUUUGGGGGGAAUCAGAGUUUGGUUUCGUCGUGCAUCUUGCGGUAUCUACCAGCGGUCUAGGGAUCAACCACGUAAGCACUUAGAAAUGCAGAGUGGCGCUCGGGAAGGAGCGAUGCUGGAGGAGUGAAUGUGGUGGAGUUGCUGGCACAGGGAAUUCUAAGCUCUGGAGGAGCUCCUUGGAGGGAAGAAGUGCGGUGUCUUGGAAGGAAGGAGAAGGUGGCUUUUACCAAAGAGGAGGGAGCAGUCAGUGGUGUCAGGUGCUGCUGAGAGGGCAACUGAGAACCCAGAAUUGAUCACUGUAUUUAGCAAAAUGAAAGUUGUCCGUGUCCUUGGCAAGGUCAAUUUCAGUGAUGCGAUGGGAGUAAAAUCCUGAUUAGACUGAGUUGAAGAGAGAAUGGAAAGAAAUGAAUUGGAGGCAAGAAGUCUACGCAAUUCUUUUGAAAUGUUUAGAUGCAAGGGAGACAGAAGAAGUGAGUGGGAAAAGUGGGUUCAAGAAAAAAUUGUAGUGCUAUAAUGAUGGAAGAAAUAAUAUUUUUUAAAAUGGUGAUGACGUAGAGAGGGGAAAAUCAGGGACCGAGGAGACGGGGGUCAAGGGCGAGAGCUGUCACUCGAGAUUGGAUGAGAUCUGGUGCAAAAGUGAAGGGACAGGCUUUCAAUAACAACACGGAUAAGCUGAUCCCUAGUGGCAGCAGGCGGAAGGCAGAGGAUAUGGGGAUAGAUUUUCAAUGGUUGAAUUUGCUUUUAAAGACAUUUUCUCAGUGUGGCCCUAAAAAGCAAAGGCGGGUGGCGGGGGGGGAGAACAAUGAAAGAAAAAAGAAAAAGAAGCCCUGGCUUUACCAGCUAGGCCACUCUAAUCGGGUCUUUCUCUGAGUCCAUUCUAGAAGAUACAAGUCCUGUUCUUUCUCCUCAUGGUGGUUGACAAAGACACAUCCCCUUCGUUCCUCUAGUUUCUGUUUCACCACAUGACUUCUUACCAUAGCCAUCUGGCCACUUCCCCUCCCGUUUGGACCUCAUGUUACAUCGGGACUUGUGGCGAGUGCCCCCGCCCUGGUUCUCAUUCUGCCCCCUGUUCUCCACCCCCCGCUCUGUGGGUUUCUGGUCUCGUUUCCAGCACUUCAGUUUCCUCAGCUGUGAAGAAGGGAGACCGUUUUCUUCCUGCCUCCAAGGCCAAGAGUUUAAAUAGGUCCAAGACACGCGAUGGCUUUAACCAACCCAAGGAUGGCUUUAACCAACCCAAGGAAAGAGGAAGAAGAGGGAGGUGGGAGCUAGCACAGGAGAAACAAGAUGAGAAGACUUGGCUUUGCCUGCGGCUUUUCGUAGCCAGGGUGGGGGCUGAGCCCCAGCUGUGUCAUCUCCAAGCCUUAGAUGCGUAGGAGCGCCCAGGUGUUGCAGACUGUGUCAGGUGUCGUGUUUAUAGUCACCAGAGACAAAGAAAUCUGCUUACACUUAGAAUCUGCAGACCCACUGAUAGUAGGUAACAGUUACUGAGUGAUACCUACCUCCUAGGCAAUUGGCUCAGCUCUUUCCAUAGGCGAUUGAAUCCUUGGCCACACAAUAUCUGGAGAGAUACGUGCUUUUGUCCGCAUUUCAGAAACCAAGAGAGAGGGAAAGAAAGAGAAGGGCUCAAAUAACUGGAAAUCCUGCAGCUCCUCGGCGGCCACUUUGCAAGCAAAUAGAUUCCAUGUGCACUUGCAUGUGGUUAUGCAGGUGUCUCCAGGUUUAGCUCUGUUACCCGGGCUACUCUCCACUCUGCCAGGAGUUCAUCCUCAUUUACUCAUAAGCCACCCUGGUGUAUUUGGGAAUCAAUUGAUCAAGUUUGACUUCCGCACAACUGUUCAAAAACAUGCUUGCAGAUGACUGAAAUUCACGUUGUUAGCACAUGUGGGGCACACAGCAGCUGACCGCAAAGGACCCACGAACGAUCCCUCCACCAGGAAGCUCAGAUCCCUCUCUCUGUAGGAACGGAGAUUAUUCACGCACGCACUCAUUCAGAAUUACCGAGGGCGCGCCGAGGGCCGCAGUUUAGGUAAACACAAAUCAACGUAGAAUUACAAUGCUUGGAGCAAAGAGAUGCACCACCAAGACCUUUAUCCUACCUGGCUCUUUUAGACACAGCAUUGCGGGGGUCUGGACCUCUGGAGCCAGGCUGCCGGGCUUAAAUGCCUGGGUCUGCCGCUUAAAGGCUGCACGACCCUGCUUUGCUUAAAAUCUCCCCUGGCCUCCGUUUCCUGCCUAAAGUAUGAGGACAGGAAUCGUACUUUCCUCCUAGGGUUGCUUUGAGGACUAGAGUGAACACAGGUUAGGGGCCUUGGAGCAGGGCCCGGCCCAUCACAAGCACAGUGUUAUAGCUCCUAUCAUUACUGGUGUUGUGAGAGAUUUGCCAGAACAGCUGCUGAUGUGUGACCAUAACUCUGCAAAGAACACCAAGUGCCCGUAAGUGUCUGCUGGCUACAACUUCCUUGACGUCUGACUGUGUCCCCCGCCCCAUCCCCGUGGACACGCCUAGAGCAGCCCUGGAUGCUUCGCCUGUCCUAUUUCCUCAUUUUGAAUCCAGCGUCCAGUCGGUCAUUGUCCUUUGCUGCCUCCUUCCUGCUUGUUUUCCUUGGGGAAAACGGCAAGCGGACCCUUUUUGCAUCCUGGAGCCUCAGAGGGAUCUUCCUUCCUUGUCACUGUUAGAGCUCUUAUUAAUUUUAUUUUUAACAUUUUUUUAAAUGAAAGUAUAGUUGGUUGACAAAGCUGUGCCAAUUUCUGCUGCACAGCAAAGGGACCCAGGCACAACGCAUAUAUAUAUAUACAUUUUUUUUCUUAUAUUAUCCUCCAUCAUGGUCUGUCCUAAGAGACGGGCUACAGGUCCCUGCGCUGUUCAGCAGGACCUCAUUGCUUACCCAUUCUCAGUGUAAUAGUUUGCAUCUGCCAACCCCAAACUCCCAGUCCAUCCCACCCCUUCCCCCCUUAUUAAUUUUAUCUUAAAUUCUUUUUAUUAUGUUUCUUACUACCAAAGUAAUAGGUAAAACAAUCCAAACAUACAGAAAUUUGUGGCAGGAAGUAAACUGCCCUAAUAAUCCCACAUCCAGAGAUAACCACAGUUAACUGCUUGUUAUAUAUGCUUUAGCACACAUCUUCUUGACAAAAUAUACAAAUAAAAAUGGGAUCAUAUGAUUCAUUUUGUUUCACAACUUGCCUUUUCCACUUAUAAAUCUUGGACAUUCUUCUGUGUUAGUACCAAUAGGUCUCUUAUUUUUAUAAAAUAAGUGAAAUUUGCUUAACCAUUCCCUAGCGGGAUAUUGUUAUGAGGCCUUUACACAACUAUAGGUUUCCUCUACUGCAAACAAUGCUGCAAUAAACAUACCUGUGCAUGUAUUUUUAUACAUCGUGUAAAUAUUUCUGAAAUACAUACUUUUUGCACCCAUAUGUACAAAGUAAAAAUGCCUGGAGCUCCCUUGUGGCACAAUGGGUUAAGGAUCCAGCAUUGUCACUGCAGUAGCUUGGGUCACAGCUGCAGUGCAGGUUCGAUCCCCUGGCCCAGGACGUUCUACAUGCCCUGAGUGCAGCCAACAAAAAGAAAAAGAAAAAGAAAGCAUAAAAUCCCAGAUGUGGCAUUGCCUGGUCAAAAAACCCCCCACAAAUAUUAUUUUUAUCCCCAAUGGCCAAACUGUCCUCCAAAGAGACUUACCCAACUUGCAGUCAUAUUUAUAAGAACAAGUACCUGUUUCUCUACUUUUGAUUGUUUUCUGAGUAUUACUUUUUUCUUUGCUCAGUUUUAUCCCAACCUUGUAAUCCCAUUUCCUCUCGAACCUAGAAUCAGAGUUUAAAAACCUGGGGAAGAUCAAAACAUAGACCAGUGUUUUUACAAACAGCAAAACCUUCCACAUUAAUUGUGGUCGUGACGUGUUUUCAGUCAAAAUAUCACAGCACUAGAUGCUAAGCGUUUUAACACAGCUCUAACCUCCCAGAUCGGCGAACCCCUGCGGUGAUUAGAUCACCUGCCCCACAGCUCCUGCCUACACACCUCCUUCUUGGCUGGGCAUGUGGAAUAGGAGAGGCUGCUGGCCUGGGGGACAGGGCACGGAGGGCGAAAUCAAGAGGCUGGAAGGACACGACAUUCAGUGUCACCUUGCAGGCAGCCUAGGGCUGUCCCUUGAGUGUGUUCUGGACCCCCAUUCAUACUCCUCCUCCUCCUCGGGGCUUCUCUGCUUUACUUCCAGUGCCCCAGGAACACUUAUUCACUCUCCAAGGGUGGGUUCCAGCCCCUUCUCUCUGAACCCUUUCCUGAAUCCCCAGAAGCCCCCUCUCCUUACUGCCUCACUACAUCUGGACUCACACCUUCUCGAGAACCUGCAAUUUUCCCCAACACGCUUCUGAGGAACAUUCAGAGGCUAAGUUCUUGUCGAAUGAACAUCUCCCGACAGGGAGAGAUCUUCGGUAGAAGGGAGCUGAGAGGCCCAUUGUUCAAAGGAACAAGAGGAUUCCGAUAAAAGGAGAUACGGAAGGACGGGGCUUGAACCAUCCGUCCUGUUAAAAACCAACAAUUCCAAACAUUCCUCCAGAUGUUAGUCCUUGACCCCUGCUUCUCCCCACCCACGAGAGAGACGGCAAAUAUACUUUGAUCUUACAACAAAAACAAGAGAGAAAACUACUGGGUUGGAAAACACCGCUUUGCGUAGGACAACCUUUCAUUUGCCUGCUGGACAUUUUUGGCAAAAAAGAACUNGGGGGGGGGGGGGCCCGCGGGGGAGGGGAGGGAGCGGGGAGUAGACUCGGACUUAAGCAAGAACUUACUCUAGCAUGUCUCUAACAGCAGAGACAGAACGAAUGAGGCCAGGAAGCUAUCCGUGCCAAGAUAAAGUUGUGUUUGCCCUAAAUCCCAGAUAAGUACGUUCUCCGUAGGGUUGGAAGCCGCUGGAAUGGCUUCUCAGCAAAAUCGCCCCCUACCAUUUCCGUGCAUUUUCUCCGAUCUGACGAUCAGACUUUCAGCCGCCAAGACAGCCCCAGGAAGGGCGCAGAAGGUUCCCGAGGUGGCCUCGCGCCCGCCUUGGCGGCACUGGCGGCCGGGCACCGCGCCUCGCCCAGGUGGCCGCUUGACAGACGAGCCUCCGGGCGCCCCCGAUCCCCGGCGGCCGCCCCUCCCCGCCGCGUGCACCUGCGCGCCGUCCAGCCGCCGCCGGGGCCCGACGCCGGG